rnacentral:rRNA from 1 species
UACGUAGGGUGCGAGCGUUAAUCGGAAUUACUGGGCGUAAAGCGUGCGCAGGCGGUUUUGUAAGCCAGAUGUGAAAUCCCCGGGCUUAACCUUGGGAACUGCGUUUGAAACUACAAGGCUAGAGUGUGGCAGAGGGGGGUGGAAUUCCACGUGUAGCAGUGAAAUGCGUAGAGAUGUGGAGGAACACCGAUGGCGAAGGCAGCCCCCUGGGUUAACACUGACGCUCAGGCACGAAAGGCGUGGGGAGCAAACAGG